rnacentral:rRNA from 1 species
CCUACGGGAGGCAGCAGUGGGGGAUAUUGGACAAUGGGGGAAACCCUGAUCCAGCGACGCCGCGUGAGUGAAGACGUCUUUCCGUGUGUAAAGCUCUAUCAGCAAGGAAGAAAGAAAUGACGCUACCUGCGUAAGAAGCCCCGGCUAACUACGGGCCAGCAGCCGCGGCAAUACGUGGGGGGCAAGCGUUAUCCGGAAUUCCUGGGUGUAAAGGGAGCGUAGACGGUACUGCAAGUCUGGAGGGAAAGGCGGGGGCCCAACCCCCGGACUGCUGUGGAAACUGUGUGACUGGAGUGCGGGAGAGGCAGGCGGAAUGGGUAGUGUAGCGGUGAAAUGCGUAGAUAUUAGGAGGAACACCGGGGGCGAAGGCGGCCUGCUGGACUGUAACUGACGUUGAGGCUCGAAAGCGUGGGGAGCGAACAGGAUUAGAUACCCGUGUAGUC